AUACUUACCUGGCAGAGGAGAUACCAUGAUCACGAAGGUGGCUUCCCAGGGUGAGGCUUAUCCAUUGUACUCCGGAUGUGCUGACCCCUGUGAUUUCCCCAAAUGUGGGAAACUCGACUGUAUAAUUUGUGGUAGUGGGGACUGAAGAAAAAAAAAAAAAAAGAAUACCUG